rfam:Listeria monocytogenes str. 4b H7858 cont667, whole genome shotgun sequence.
GGGUGAUAAUUUCAUCUUCUCUUUUUUGCUUUUAUAUUUUGGUACAGCUGAUUCAUGUAAAAAAAGGGUAUACCCAAAAUAUACACAAAACCAUCAGUGUAAAUGCAUUUUUUUCAAUGUAUAGUUAGGGUGGAUAUUAAAUGGUUGUGAAAAGAGUUGCUUUUUAGUCAUGAUAGUAGCAUAUGCUCGAGUAAGUUCUACAGAUUAAAAUUU